ACACAUGCAAGUCGAGGGGUAUAGUAGCAAUACUAGAGACCGGCGCACGGGUGCGUAACGCGUAUGCAAUCUACCUUUUGCAGAGGGAUAGCCCAGAGAAAUUUGGAUUAAUACCUCAUAGUAUAACGACUCGGCAUCGAGAUGUUAUUAAAGUCACAACGGCAAAAGAUGAGCAUGCGUCCCAUUAGUUAGUUGGUAAGGUAACGGCUUACCAAGACUACGAUGGGUAGGGGUCCUGAGAGGGAGAUCCCCCACACUGGUACUGAGACACGGACCAGACUCCUACGGGAGGCAGCAGUGAGGAAUAUUGGUCAAUGGGCGCAAGCCUGAACCAGCCAUGCCGCGUGCAGGAUGACGGUCCUAUGGAUUGUAAACUGCUUUUGCACAGGAAGAAACAACGCUACGUGUAGCGUCUUGGCGGUACUGUGAGAAUAAGGAUCGGCUAACUCCGUGCCAGCAGCCGCGGUAAUACGGAGGAUCCAAGCGUUAUCCGGAAUCAUUGGGUUUAAAGGGUCCGUAGGCGGUCUUAUAAGUCAGUGGUGAAAUCUCCCCGCUCAACGGGGAAACGGCCAUUGAUACUGUAGGACUUGAAUUAUUAGGAAGUAACUAGAAUAUGUAGUGUAGCGGUGAAAUGCUUAGAGAUUACAUGGAAUACCAAUUGCGAAGGCAGGUUACUACUAAUGGAUUGACGCUGAUGGACGAAAGCGUGGGUAGCGAACAGGAUUAGAUACCCUGGUAGUCCACGCCGUAAACGAUGGAUACUAGCUGUUGGGCGCAAGUUCAGUGGCUAAGCGAAAGUGAUAAGUAUCCCACCU
rnacentral:rRNA from 1 species